UACGAAGGACCCAAGCGUUAUCCGGAUUUAUUGGGUUUUAAAGGGUGCGUAGGCGGAUUGUUAAGUCAGUGGUGAAAGCUCCGAGCCCAACUCGGAAACUGCCAUUGAUACUGAUGAUCUUGAGUACAUUUGAGGUGGGCGGAAUGUGUCAUGUAGCGGUGAAAUGCUUAGAGAUGACACAGAACACCGAUUGCGAAGGCAGCUCACUAAACUGUAACUGACGCUGAGGCACGAAAGCGUGGGGAGCAAACAGG
rnacentral:rRNA from 1 species